UACGUAGGGCGCGAGCGUUGUCCGGAAUUAUUGGGCGUAAAGAGCUCGUAGGCGGCCGGUUGCGUCUGCUGUGAAAUCCCGGGGCUUAACCCCGGGCGUGCAGUGGAUACGGGCCGGCUGGAGGCAGGCAGGGGAGAAUGGAAUUCCCGGUGUAGCGGUGAAAUGCGCAGAUAUCGGGAGGAACACCGGUGGCGAAGGCGGUUCUCUGGGCCUUACCUGACGCUGAGGCGCGAAAGCGUGGGGAGCAAACAGG
rnacentral:rRNA from 1 species